UAUAGAUUAUAUAUAUAUAUAUAUAUAUAUAUAUAUAUUAAUUAUUAUUUUGGUUUUGGUUUUGCUGUGUGAACCAGGAUGUCGUGGUCUCUCGAAAUCGGUUAUCCACUCUGUUUCUAUCCGAAGGGAGAGAAAACUCUGCUGUGCGUGAUGAUGGGAAGAGUUUUGAAGUGGGAUCUCAGAAAGGCGACUAUGAGUUAUGUUUAUUGUAGGCAGUGGCAGCUCUAAAUUGUGCAAUAGCCUGAGAUGCUUUGACUUAGUUCAUAUGGUGGUCGCAGUUAGUGUUUCAGACUACCACUCACCAUGGCAAUCUGGCAAGCCUUGGUGUUACAUUGUGUAUUUCUACCACGAGACUCUACAGCAAGGUGUCUUGUAGUUAACCUGACUGUACUGAGAAGCAGCGUGUGUGGAAAUGGUGGCCACAAAAUAUUGACUUCUAUCUUGUUACAGUUUCAAUCAUUUUCUAAAUGAAAUAAUGAGUUAGCACUUUUGAGUUUUGAA